rnacentral:rRNA from 1 species
CAUUGAGACCGCCCCUGCAUUGCUGUCGUCAAAAAAAAGUUUGGAAAAGGUGGGGUAAAUUCCGCAACGAGCCCAACCCUUUUCCUUUAUUGCCAGCACAUUAUGGUGGGCACUCAAAGGAGACUGCCGGUGAUAAACCGGAGGAAGGUGGGGAUGACGUCAAGUCAUCAUGGCCCUUACGAGUAGGGCUACACACGUGCUCCAAUGGCAUAUACAGAGAGAAGCGAACUCGCGAGAGCCCCCCCCCUCAUAAAGUAGGUCGUAGUCCGGAUUGGAGUCUGCAACUCGACUCCAUGAAGUCGGAAUCGCUAGUAAUCGUAGAUCAGAAUGCUACGGUGAAUACGUUCCCGGGCCCUUGUCCUCGGGGGCCCGUCACACCAUGGGAAUGGGUUGCGCCCUUUCCUUUUUUAGGUACCUUCGGGAGGGCGCUUACCACUUUUGAUUCAUGAAUGGGGGAAAUUGUAACCAAGGUUACCCACC